rnacentral:sRNA from 1 species
ACGACUUAUGACAUCUGACACAAUAGCAUCCGCCCCCUUUCUGUAUUUGAUUUGAAGGUCGUACACCUGGAACUCUGAUAUCCAUCAUGCUAGCCGCUUGAAGGGUUUGGUUGUCAUUUGCAAAUAAAUGAGGCUUUUGUGGUCGGUGAUCACUGUUGUCAUAUGCCCAUUGUUGAUAUAUCAAUCCCACAGGCCUAGUGUGUGUUUGAUUGCUAGAAGUUCCUUCUCAUGCACAGGAUAGUUAAGUUCUGUGCCCGACAGCUUUCAGCCAUCAUACACUACUGAGUGUAAUUUAUCAUCCUCCCCCACUUGCAAG